rnacentral:rRNA from 1 species
AUUGAACGCUGGCGGCAGGCUUAACACAUGCAAGUCGAGCGAGCGGCGGACGGGUGAGUAAUGUAUGGGAAACUGCCUGAUGGAGGGGGAUAACUACUGGAAACGGUAGCUAAUACCGCAUACCAUCAGAUGGGCCCAGAUGGGAUUAGCUAGUGGGUGGGGUAAUGGCUCACCAAGGCGACGAUCCAUAGCUGGUCUGAGAGGAUGACCAGCCACACUGGGACUGAGACACGGUCCAGACUCCUACGGGAGGCAGCAGUGGGGAAUAUUGCGCAAUGGGCGCAAGCCUGAUGCAGCCAUGCCGCGUGAGUGAAGAAGGCCUUCGGGUUGUAAAGCUCUUUCGUCGAAGAGGCGUUAUUUACAGAAGAAGCACCGGCUAACUCCGUGCCAGCAGCCGCGGUAAUUC